rnacentral:rRNA from 1 species
AUUGAACGCUGGCGGCAGGCCUAACACAUGCAAGUCGAGCGGAUGAAGGGAACUUGCUCCUGGAUUCAGCGGCGGACGGGUGAGUAAUGCCUAGGAAUCUGCCUGGUAGUGGGGGAUAACGUCCGGAAACGGGCGCUAAUACCGCAUACGUCCUGAGGGAGAAAGUGGGGGAUCUUCGGACCUCACGCUAUCAGAUGAGCCUAGGUCGGAUUAGCUAGUUGGUGGGGUAAAGGCCUACCAAGGCGACGAUCCGUAACUGGUCUGAGAGGAUGAUCAGUCACACUGGAACUGAGACACGGUCCAGACUCCUACGGGAGGCAGCAGUGGGGAAUAUUGGACAAUGGGCGAAAGCCUGAUCCAGCCAUGCCGCGUGUGUGAAGAAGGUCUUCGGAUUGUAAAGCACUUUAAGUUGGGAGGAAGGGCAGUAAGUUAAUACCUUGCUGUUUUGACGUUACCGACAGAAUAAGCACCGGCUAACUUCGUG